UUACUCAUGCCAAAUUAACCAUGAACGUACCGUUGGUGCAACUGUGCAAGGCUGAAAACACAAGAAUGUUGUGGGAAAGAAAACAGGUUAGUGAGCUAUCACAAAGAGAUCAAUAAAAUCAAAUUCAUCGUAUUGUAUGGUCAUCACCAGAGUUCUAUUGAUCUUGCAAGAAUUUUGCCACCAUAUCUUGCCAUUGCCGUUGACUGUUCCACCACCAGUGACGACAAAAUUUCUCAAGUUGUGAAACAUAAUCCAGUGUCUAAUACUCAUACCAUCCCAAUCUGAGCGAUUUGAUGAAGCGUCUAUUGUGCCUUUGAUCUGAUAUAAAAUUCAAAAAAUUGAUUAUAAGAGAGUGGCUUUGAAAAUUAAUGUGAAGGUCGGAGGCCGUAACACUGUUCUGUCAGAUGCUCUUUAUAAGAGGUUGCCUUUUGUAUCCGAUAAACCAACCAUCAUUUUUGGGGCUGAUGUCACACAUCCCCAGCCAGGAGAAGACUCCUCUGCUUCCAUUGCUGCAGUUGUUGCAUCAAUGGAUUGGCCUGAAGUGCGGCGGCGAGCGGCGUCGUUUCAUCAAAAGUGGCGACGAGUGACGGCGAGCGACGAGCAGCGACAAACGUCGAGCUCGAUCCUCUCUGCAAGUUCUCUCUUUCUCUCUCUAAGCUUCAUCAAAAUUAGGUAUCUUUAAGAUCUGCGAGGAUAAUGGCAGAGCUCUCUGUAAGUUCUCUCUUUCUCUCUCUAAGCUUCAUCAAAAUUAGGUAUCUUUAAGAUCUGCGAGGAUAAUGGCACUACCAUUGCUUGCCUGCUUCAGCUCCUCUCCUGAGAAUACCCCUGUGCACACCCCUACUGCUAAAGCUCCUCCAUAUUCAGCAGCUCGAAUAUCAUUAGGCUGCAGUUAUAUGCGUCAGUCAAAUUUGAAGUUUAGGGUAUCCCCAUGAACAUUGGGGGUUUUGAACAAAACCCCUCUAAACUUCAUAAAUCAAUGAAAACACACCUUGAAUUUCUCACUUAAGUAUCAUGACUUCUAGCAGUCACUUGUCUUUUCUCCGGUACGAAUUAUCCAACAACUAAUCUCUACUUUCUUCAAGUAUUUGUUGUGCAACGUACUUUAAAGAGUGGGAUGAAAGAUGAUGAUGAAUAUGUUAAGUUAAUAGCAACCAAAAUGUACAAGAAAUUUGAAAAAUAUUGGAGUGAGUACAAUGUUCUACUUGCUAUUGCGUGCAUCUUGGAUCCCCGAUACAAAAUGCAAUUUGUAGAGUUUUGCUAUCAUGGGGCUAUAUGGACACAAUUCUACGGAGCUUAAGAAUGUGAAAGACAAGCUUUUCUCUCUCUUUAAUGAGUACUUGAGCAAUAUGGAUGGUAAUAGAAGAAGAAACUUGGAGAAAUCAAGCAAGGAGGGAACUUCUCGUGUGUAUGAUGACACAUUUGAUCAAGAUUGCAUUGAUAUCUUGAGGGUAAUUUCUUUCUCAAAUAAUUAGUAUAUCUCUUAGUUUUUAUUGUAGAUGUCUUACAAUCACAUUGUAAAUACCUUUCGGAAAUGUUUGUUUGUUUUCUUGUGUUCUUUUGUAAACAUUUUACAGUUAUAAAUGAUUAUCCAUUCCAUGCCUUUUAUUAUUCUCUCAUUUGACAUACAAACUGAUUAUGAUGAAUGUGGUAAUUUAUUCCUCGUGUUUAGGCAUUAACUAUCUAUGUGAUGAAUUUUCUACCCUUAGGUUGAUAGUGAGAUGUAUAAUUUGUAAUGCUUUAUGACUUUGUAAAGAGAACAGUCGUUUAUAGUUUCUUGUCAGCUUCUUUUCUACUACUUAAAAAAUUGUAGUGAAGAAAUUUGUGGAAUAUGCUAUUAGAAAAAUAGGAGGCCCUGAGAUUCUAUGUCCAUGCCAUAAAUAUAUGAAUAAUAAAACUGGCUCUCUUGAGAUAGUUGAGUCACUCUUGAGAUAGUACAUUUCAAAGCAUUCUUAUGAAGAGUUCGGAAUUAGUCACUCAGUCUUUAGAACUGCAUUAUAAUGCCUGUAAUGCGUCCUUAUUGCCAUGUUCUUCUGAUGGAGUUGAUGACACACAUCAGAGCACUUCUUCAUUAGUGCAAAAAACAAUACCUGCAGGAAGGUAGGCAUCAUCAGAAGACAUAUAAUCAUGGAAAGAGAAAGGCUUUACUAGCUUGAUAGUUGCUGCACCCGAAAUGGAUGUGGGGAUUAUAAUUGAAGAUUUGCUACCACUUUUAUCAUAUUAUGCACCUUUUGCAAUUUAUCAUCAGUACCUUCAGGACAUUGAAGCAUUUGGAGCAGGUUAAGGACUUCACUCCAUGUGAGAGCAGCAUCUACGCGUUGAUGGGGAAGAUUCACAAGAGGCUUAAUAUGCAUGCUAAGGACAUGUUCUACUUUGGUAUUGCAUUGGACCUGAAGCCUCCAG